GAUAGAUGCAGCAAGGGAAAGUUGCCGGGACGUGCACAAGCCGCCAUGCAGCGGGUUCGUCGAGGUGAUGGCGCCCGUCUUCUCAAGGGAUGCUUGGAGAUGUGUGUGGCAUAUGAUCCAGAACGACUUUGUCCAUGCAUGGGGUCUUGACUCCAAUUUCUGGAGAUGUGUCCAUGAUCCCGAAGAGCAGAUCGGUAUCGUAGAUGCACAGUACUUGGUCCAUCAUGCAGUUCCCACACUCCAAAGCCAGGGUGAGAAAGAAAAGGAAGGAGGCCGUUCGGAGGUAU